AUAGGAAAAGGUGGAAAAAUGAUGCGUCCACACACCCACAGGGUCAAAAGAAAUGAGAGAAUGGCGUCACUCUCUUUCCUAU
ncrna:unclassified sequences skipping-rope RNA